rnacentral:rRNA from 1 species
AUUCCAGCUCCAAUAGCGUAUAUUAAAGUUGUUGCAGUUAAAAAGCUCGUAGUUGAACUUCAGGCGGGGCUGGGUGGUCCGCUUUACAGUGUGUACUGUCUGGCCCUGUCUUACUUCUUGGUGAGCCAGCGUGGCCUUUAUUGGUUGCGUUGGGGAACCAGGACUUUUACCUUGAGAAAAUUAGAGUGUUCAAAGCAGGCCUUUGCCUGAAUACAUUAGCAUGGAAUAAUAAAAUAGGACGUGUGGUUCUAUUUUGUUGGUUUCUAGGAUCGCCGUAAUGAUUAAUAGGGAUAGUUGGGGGCAUUGGUAUUGAGCCGUCAGAGGUGAAAUUCUUGGAUUGGCUCAAGACCAACUAUUGCGAAAGCAUUUGCCAAGGAUGUUUUCAUCA